rnacentral:rRNA from 1 species
GUGGGGAAUAUUGGACAAUGGGCGAAAGCCUGAUCCAGCCAUGCCGCGUGUGUGAAGAAGGUCUUCGGAUUGUAAAGCACUUUAAGUUGGGAGGAAGGGCAGUAAGUUAAUACCUUGCUGUUUUGACGUUACCGACAGAAUAAGCACCGGCUAACUUCGUGCCAGCAGCCGCGGUAAUACGAAGGGUGCAAGCGUUAAUCGGAAUUACUGGGCGUAAAGCGCGCGUAGGUGGUUUUGUAAGUUGGAGGUGAAAUCCCCGGGCUCAACCUGGGAACUGCCUCAAAAACUGCAUGACUAGAGUACGGUAGAGGGUAGUGGAAUUUCCUGUGUAGCGGUGAAAUGCGUAGAUAUAGGAAAGAACACCAGUGGCGAAGGCGACUACCUGGACUGAUACUGACACUGAGGUGCGAAAGCGUGGGGAGCAAACAGGAUUAGAUACCCGUGUAGUCC